rnacentral:rRNA from 1 species
AUUGAACGCUGGCGGCAGGCCUAAUACAUGCAAGUCGAACGAGUGGCGGACGGGUGAGUAAUGGAUGGGAAUCUAGCUUAUGGAGGGGGAUAACUACGGGAAACUGUAGCUAAUACCGCGUACCGUAGGAUGAGCCCAAGUGGGAUUAGGUAGUGGGUGGGGUAAAGGCUCACCAAGCCGACGAUCCAUAGCUGGUCUGAGAGGAUGACCAGCCACACUGGGACUGAGACACGGCCCAGACUCCUACGGGAGGCAGCAGUGGGGAAUAUUUCGCAAUGGGGGCAACCUGACCGAGCCAUGCCGCGUGAGUGAAGAAGGCUUUCGGGUUGUAAAGUUCUUUCGUUAGAGAGGCGUUACCUACACAGAAAGCCCCGGCUAACUCCGUGCCAGCCGCCGCGGUAAUAC